AGGACGAACGCUGGCGGCGUGCUUAACACAUGCAAGUCGAGCGGAAAGGCCCUUCGGGGUACUCGAGCGGCGAACGGGUGAGUAACACGUGAGCAACCUGCCCCUGGCUCUGGGAUAGCCUUCGGAAACGGGGAUUAAUACCGGAUAUUCACUGCUUCCUGCAUGGGGGGCGGUGGAAAGUUUUUCGGCCAGGGAGGGGCUCGCGGCCUAUCAGCUUGUUGGGGGGGUAACGCCCACCAAGGCGACGACGGGUAG
rnacentral:rRNA from 1 species